GUCGAGCGGACAGAUGGGAGCUUGCUCCCUGAUGUCAGCGGCGGACGGGUGAGUAACACGUGGGUAACCUGCCUGUAAGACUGGGAUAACUCCGGGAAACCGGGGCUAAUACCGGAUGCUUGAUUGAACCGCAUGGUUCAAUUAUAAAAGGUGGCUUUUACCUACCACUUACAGAUGGACCCGCGGCGCAUUACCUAGUUGGUGAGGUAACGGCUCACCAAGGCAACAAUGCGUACCCAACCUGAAAGGGUGAUCGGCCACACUGGGACUGAAACACGGCCCAAACUCCUACGGGAGGCAGCAGUAGGGAAUCUUCCGCAAUGGACAAAAGUCUGACGGACCAACGCCGCGUGAGUGAUGAAGGUUUUCGGAUCGUAAAACUCUGUUGUUAGGGAAAAACAAGUACCGUUCGAAUAGGGCGGUACCUUGACGGUACCUAACCAAAAAGCCACGGCUAACUACGUGCCACCAGCCGCGGUAAUACGUAGGUGGCAAGCGUUGUCCGGAAUUAUUGGGCGUAAAGCGCGCGCAGGCGGUUUCUUAAG
rnacentral:rRNA from 1 species